GACGAACGCUGGCGGCGUGCUUAACACGUGCAAGUCGAACGAGACCUUCGGGUCUAGUGGCGCACGGGUGCGUAACGCGUGGGAAUCUGCCCUUGGGUUCGGAAUAACAGUUAGAAAUGACUGCUAAUACCGGAUAAUGUCUUCGGACCAAAAGAUUUAUCGCCCAGGGAUGAGCCCGCGUAGGAUUAGCUAGUUGGUGAGGUAAAGGCUCACCAAGGCGACGAUCCUUAGCUGGUCUGAGAGGAUGAUCAGCCACACUGGGACUGAGACACGGCCCAGACUCCUACGGGAGGCAGCAGUGGGGAAUAUUGGACAAUGGGCGAAAGCCUGAUCCAGCAAUGCCGCGUGAGUGAUGAAGGCCUUAGGGUUGUAAAGCUCUUUUACCCGGGAUGAUAAUGACAGUACCGGGAGAAUAAGCUCCGGCUAACUCCGUGCCAGCAGCCGCGGUAAU
rnacentral:rRNA from 1 species